rnacentral:rRNA from 1 species
UCAUUACCUAGAGUUUGUAGACUUCGGUCUGCUACCUCUUACCCAUGUCUUUUGAGUACCUUCGUUUCCUCGGCGGGUCCGCCCGCCGAUUGGACAACAUUCAAACCCUUUGCAGUUGCAAUCAGCGUCUGAAAAAACAUAAUAGUUACAACUUUCAACAACGGAUCUCUUGGUUCUGGCAUCGAUGAAGAACGCAGCGAAAUGCGAUAAGUAGUGUGAAUUGCAGAAUUCAGUGAAUCAUCGAAUCUUUGAACGCACAUUGCGCCCCUUGGUAUUCCAUGGGGCAUGCCUGUUCGAGCGUCAUUUGUACCUUCAAGCUCUGCUUGGUGUUGGGUGUUUGUCUCGCCUCUGCGUGUAGACUCGCCUUAAAACAAUUGGCAGCCGGCGUAUUGAUUUCGGAGCGCAGUACAUCUCGCGCUUUGCACUCAUAACGACGACGUCCAAAAGUACAUUUUUACACUCUUGACCUCGGAUCAGGUAGGGAUACCCGCUGAACUUAAGCAUAUCAAUAA